rnacentral:rRNA from 1 species
CACGUAGGGGGCGAGCGUUGGUCCGGAUUUAUUGGGCGUAAAGAGCUCGGUAGGACGGCUCAGUAAGUCAGGUGUGAAAACGUCCAAGGCUCAACCGUGGAGACGCCACCUGAUACUGCUGUGGCUAGAGUCCGGUAGGGGAGGCAUGGAAUUCCGUGGUGAUAGCGGUGAAAUGACGCAGAUAUCAAGGAGGAACACCAGUGGCGAAGGCGGG